GGCUAUCAAGGUAGGACCUACUGAAAUGGACAUUCUCUGCAGGAUUAAUAAUACCGAGGACCUAAACCAGAGUCUUGUUUUAAACAAGUCCAACAGCUCCAGUGUUCAAAAUUUACCCAUGAAAUAAAAGCCCUGAAGACUAUAAAGUGAUGAGAAGCCUUCACAGCACUGGGGAAGGUCUGGGGAGAUUUCAGAAACAGAGGGCAUCUGGAAUGAAUUUGCUGCAGACUAAAUCAAAAGCUUCACCACUGUUUAACAUCAUCAUGGAGUAAAUCCCUCCCUGGUACAACUGCACUGAAGCCAUCAUGUACAAAUCUGGCCCCAUGAGUCUAAUUGAUUUAGGAAGUUGGUCUGCCUGGAGCUUUGGAGCCUGCAAAUGAUGCUGUGACAUGUUUAAUGUUGUUAUCAAUUGUCUUAUUACUUUAAUCAACAUCAUGGCAAUAUAGGGGAAUUCAAAUGAUCUUUGAUUCAUUGGGAGACAGACUAAACAGAAAAUAUUUGGACACCAUUAAGGUUAUUA